CCCAACUGACGAACACCAAAACGAUGUACGAGUUUUUGAGGGAAGUAAAUAAACGACGCGAAAAUGAUAACCACCGUGCAGGACGUACGCUCGGCGCCGUUUUCUUUGUGUAAACAAGAGGGUCGCUCGCUGUAACCAUCUGCUCACAAUGCGAGGGGACGAACGACCGUGUGGAGUAGAGGGAACGCGGGGUUCUCGUAACGAUCGGAAUUAAGGGUGGCGGUCGUUUUAGAGGGGACAUAUAAUAUUAUUUUGUAGUGUACGUACGAUAUAUUUUGUAGCAUGAAAAAAAAAAACUUUAACAUUUUA